UAGGGAAUCUUCGGCAAUGGACGAAAGUCUGACCGAGCAACGCCGCGUGAGUGAAGAAGGUUUUCGGAUCGUAAAGCUCUGUUGUAAGAGAAGAACGAGUGUGAGAGUGGAAAGUUCACACUGUGACGGUAUCUUACCAGAAAGGGACGGCUAACUACGUGCCAGCAGCCGCGGUAAUACGUAGGUCCCGAGCGUUGUCCGGAUUUAUUGGGCGUAAAGCGAGCGCAGGCGGUUAGAUAAGUCUGAAGUUAAAGGCUGUGGCUUAACCAUAGUACGCUUUGGAAACUGUUUAACUUGAGUGCAAGAGGGGAGAGUGGAAUUCCAUGUGUAGCGGUGAAAUGCGUAGAUAUAUGGAGGAACACCGGUGGCGAAAGCGGCUCUCUGGCUUGUAACUGACGCUGAGGCUCGAAAGCGUGGGGAGCAAACAGGAUUAGAUACCCUGGUAGUCCACGCCGUAAACGAUGAGUGCUAGGUGUUAGACCCUUUCCGGGGUUUAGUGCCGCAGCUAACGCAUUAAGCACUCCGCCUGGGGAGUACGACCGCAAGGUUG
rnacentral:rRNA from 1 species